rnacentral:rRNA from 1 species
AAUUUUGGACAAUGGGGGAAACCCUGAUCCAGCCAUCCCGCGUGUAUGAUGAAGGCCUUCGGUUUGUAAAGUACUUUUGGCAGAGAAGAAAAGGUAUCCCCUAAUACGGGAUACUGCUGACAGUAUCUGCAGAAUAAGCACCGGCUAACUACUUCCCAGCAGCCGCGGUAAUACGUAGUGCGACAGCGUUAAUCGGAAUUACUGGGCGUAAGCGUGUGUAGGCGGUUCGGAAAGAAAGAUGUUAAAUCCAAGGGCUCAGCCUUGACACUGCAUUUUUAACUGCCGAGCUAGAGUAUGUCAGAGGGGGGUAGAAUUCCACGUGUAGCAGUGAAAUGCGUAGAUAUGUGGAGGAAUACCGAUGGCGAAGGCAGCCCCCUGGGAUAAUACUGACGCUCAGACACGAAAGCGUGGGGAGCAAACAGG